UGCGCAGGCGGCCUGUUAAGUCAGGGGUGAAAUAUGACGGCUCAACCGUCAAACUGCCCCUGAAACUGAUAGGCUUGAGUCCGAGAGAGGUAGGUGGAAUUCCAGGUGUAGCGGUGAAAUGCGUAAAUAUCUGGAGGAACACCGGUGGCGAAGGCGGCCUACUGGCUCGGAACUGACGCUCAGGCACGAAAGCAUGGGGAGCGAACAGGAUUAGAUACCCUGGUAGUCC
rnacentral:rRNA from 1 species